UUACCAAAAACACAGGUUUGUGCUAAAUCGAAAGAUGACGUAUACGAGCUGACGCCUGCCCGGUGCUGGAAGGUUAAAAGGAGAUGUGCAAGCAUUGAAUUGAAGCCCCAGUGAACGGCGGCCGUAACUAUAACGGUCCUAAGGUAGCGAAAUUCCUUGUCAGGUAAGUUCUGACCCGCAUGAAAGGCGUAAUGAUUUGGGCACUGUCUCAACAGCCCGCCCGGCGAAAUUGUAGUACCGGUGAAGAUGCCGGUUACCCGCGACAAGACGGAAAGACCCCAUGGAGCUUUACUGUAGCCUGAUAUUGGGUUUCGGUGUUGCAUGCACAGGAUAGAUGGGACGCUGGGAAAGAGUCGCUUUGGCGAUUCUGGAGCGGACGUUGGGAUACCAUCCUUGCGACAUUGGAAUUCUAACCUGCGCCUCUGAAUCGAGGCGGGGGACAUUGUCAGGUGGGCAGUUUGACUGGGGCGGUCGCCUCCUAAAAAGUAGCGGAGGCGUUCAAAGGUUCGCUCAGCUUGGACGGAAACCAAGCUAGAGAGUGCAAACGCAAAAGCGAGCCUGACUGCGAGACUGACGGGUCGAGCAGAGACGAAAGUCGGAGUUAGUGAUCCGGUGGUAUGUGAGUGGAAAUGCCAUCGCUCAACGGAUAAAAGUUACCCUGGGGAUAACAGGCUGAUCUCCCCCAAGAGUCCACAUCGACGGGGAGGUUUGGCACCUCGAUGUCGGCUCAUCGCAUCCUGGGGCUGUAUUCGGUCCCAAGGGUUUGGCUGUUCGCCAAUUAAAGCGGUACGCGAGCUGGGUUCAGAACGUCGUGAGACAGUUCGGUCCCUAUCUGUCGUGGGCGCAGGAUAUUUGAGAGGCGCUGUCCCUAGUACGAGAGGACCGGGAUGGACGAACCUCUGGUGCACCAGUUGUCACGCCAGUGGCACAGCUGGGCAGCUAUGUUCGGAUCGGAUAAACGCUGAAAGCAUCUAAGCGUGAAGCCGGCCUUAAGAUAAGAUAUCCCACUGAGUCAAUCAGGUAAGACCCCUUGAAGACUACAAGGUUGAUAGGCACAGAGUGUAAGCGGAGUGAUCCGUUCAGCUAGUGUGUACUAAUAGGUCGAGGGCUUGACCC
rnacentral:rRNA from 1 species